rnacentral:rRNA from 1 species
CCUACGGGGGGCAGCAGUGAGGAAUAUUGGUCAAUGGACGAGAGUCUGAACCAGCCAAGUAGCGUGAAGGAUGACUGCCCUAUGGGUUGUAAACUUCUUUUAUAAAGGAAUAAAACGAGGCACGUGUGCCUUUUUGCAUGUACUUUAUGAAUAAGGAUCGGCUAACUCCGUGCCAGCAGCCGCGGUAAUACGGAGGAUCCGAGCGUUAUCCGGAUUUAUUGGGUUUAAAGGGAGCGUAGAUGGGUUGUUAAGUCAGUUGUGAAAGUUUGCGGCUCAACCGUAAAAUUGCAAUUGAUACUGGCAGUCUUGAGUACAGUUGAGGUAGGCGGAAUUCGUGGUGUAGCGGUGAAAUGCUUAGAUAUCACGAAGAACCCCGAUUGCGAAGGCAGCUUACUAAACUGUGACUGACAUUGAUGCUCGAAAGUGUGGGUAUCAAACAGGAUUAGAUACCCCAGUAGUCGUG